AGUGAACGCUGGCGGUAGGCCUAACACAUGCAAGUCGAACGGCAGCACAGUAAGAGCUUGCUCUUACGGGUGGCGAGUGGCGGACGGGUGAGGAAUACAUCGGAAUCUACUUUUUCGUGGGGGAUAACGUAGGGAAACUUACGCUAAUACCGCAUACGACCUACGGGUGAAAGCAGGGGAUCUUCGGACCUUGCGCGAUUGAAUGAGCCGAUGUCGGAUUAGCUAGUUGGCGGGGUAAAGGCCCACCAAGGCGACGAUCCGUAGCUGGUCUGAGAGGAUGAUCGGCCACACUGGAAGUGAGACACGGUCAAGAGGCCUACGAGAGGCAGCAGUGGGGAAUAGUAGACAAUGGGCGGGAGCCUGAUCCAGCCAUACCGCGUGGGUGAAGGAGGCCUUCGGGUUGUAAAGCCGGUUUGUUGGGAAAGAAAAGCAGCAGGUUAAUACCCCGCUGUUCUGACGGUACCCAAAGAAUAAGCACCGGCUAACUUCGUG
rnacentral:rRNA from 1 species